GAAAUGCGAUAAGUAAUGUGAAUUGCAGAAUUCAGUGAAUCAUCGAAUCUUUGAACGCACAUUGCGCCCGCCAGUAUUCUGGCGGGCAUGCCUGUUCGAGCGUCAUUACAACCCUCAGGCCCCCGGGCCUGGCGUUGGGGAUCGGCGGAAGCCCCCUGCGGGCACAACGCCGUCCCCCAAAUACAGUGGCGGUCCCGCCGCAGCUUCCAUUGCGUAGUAGCUAACACCUCGCAACUGGAGAGCGGCGCGGCCACGCCGUAAAACACCCAACUUCUGAAUGUUGACCUCGAAUAAGGUAGGAAUACCCGCUGAACUUAAGC
rnacentral:misc_RNA from 1 species